UAAUUCAUUUAUUAUAAUAUUUGGAAUCUAUUGGUUUUCUAUGUCCAAUUUUAACUUGAUUUAGCCAGCAAAUUAUGUUACAAUGAUGCCAGCAUUACAACAACAUGAAAUCACACUAUUGUUACAUCAUGAUGACAUACCAGUGCACCUGUGAGGUCAGCCUAAAUUCAAACAAAAGGACUCUGAAGGAUUUAAAUAGAUAUUUUUGUUGUAAAUCCAAAAUCUCCCAACCUGGAGGCGUUUUGACAAACAAUAGCCUACGUAAUCCAAAAGGUCGUGAGAAUUUGUUAGACCAAGUUUCAUCCUGAGAGAUCAAACAGUAUGGAAGUCUAUGCAGAACAGAGAUUUCAAACCACCAGCAUAAAAUGAAUCACAGCCUUUAUUUUCUAAUGCAUAUAAAAAUCUAAAAACC
rnacentral:lncRNA from 1 species